rnacentral:rRNA from 2 species
UACGGGGGGUGCAAGCGUUGUUCGGAAUCAUUGGGCGUAAAGAGCGUGUAGGCGGCUUGGUAAGUCAGAUGUGAAAGCCCUGGGCUCAACCCGGGAAGUGCAUUUGAAACUGCCAGGCUCGAGUAGGGGAGAGGGAAGUGGAAUUCCUGGUGUAGAGGUGAAAUUCGUAGAUAUCAGGAGGAACACCGGUGGCGAAGGCGACUUCCUGGCCCUAUACUGACGCUGAGACGCGAGAGCGUGGGUAGCAAACAGG